CACGAGCGGCGAACGGGUGAGUAACACGUGGGUGAUCUGCCUCGCACUCUGGGAUAAGCCUGGGAAACUGGGUCUAAUACCGGAUAUGACCACGAAUCGCAUGGUUUGUGGUGGAAAGGUUUACUGGUGCGAGAUGGGCCCGCGGCCUAUCAGCUUGUUGGUGGGGUAACGGCCUACCAAGGCGACGACGGGUAGCCGGCCUGAGAGGGCGACCGGCCACACUGGGACUGAGACACGGCCCAGACUCCUACGGGAGGCAGCAGUGGGGAAUAUUGCACAAUGGGCGAAAGCCUGAUGCAGCGACGCCGCGUGAGGGAUGACGGCCUUCGGGUUGUAAACCUCUUUCGACAGGGACGAAGCGCAAGUGACGGUACCUGUAGAAGAAGCACCGGCCAACUACGUGCCAGCAGCCGCGGUAAUACGUAGGGUGCGAGCGUUGUCCGGAAUUACUGGGCGUAAAGAGCUUGUAGGCGGUCUGUCGCGUCGAUCGUGAAAACGUGCAGCUCAACUGCGCGCCUGCGGUCGAUACGGGCAGACUAGAGUACUUCAGGGGAGACUGGAAUUCCUGGUGUAGCGGUGAAAUGCGCAGAUAUCAGGAGGAACACCGGUGGCGAAGGCGGGUCUCUGGGAAGUAACUGACGCUGAGAAGCGAAAGCGUGGGUAGCGAACAGGAUUAGAUACCCUGGUAGUCCACGCCGUAAACGGUGGGUACUAGGUGUGGGUUUYCYUUCCACGGGAUCCGUGCCGUAGCUAACGCAUUAAGUACCCCGCCUGGGGAGUACGGCCGCAAGGCUAAACUCAAGGAAUUGAC
rnacentral:rRNA from 1 species